UGAGGAAUUUUGCGCAAUGGGGGAAACCCUGACGCAGCAACGCCGCGUGAGUGAAGAAGGCUUUCGGGUCGUAAAGCUCUGUCAAGUGGGAAAAACGCCUUCUCGUGAACAGCGGGGAGGUCUGAUGGUACCACUGGAGGAAGCACCGGCUAACUCCGUGCCAGCAGCCGCGGUAAUACGGAGGGUGCAAGCGUUGUUCGGAAUUACUGGGCGUAAAGAGCGUGUAGGCGGUGGGGUAAGUCAGAUGUGAAAGCCCUGGGCUUAACCCAGGAAGUGCAUUUGAAACUGCCUCACUAGAGUAUGGGAGAGGAGAGUGGAAUUCCCGGUGUAGAGGUGAAAUUCGUAGAUAUCGGGAGGAACACCCGUGGCGAAGGCGACUCUCUGGACCAAUACUGACGCUGAGACGCGAAAGCGUGGGGAGCAAACA
rnacentral:rRNA from 1 species